CUGGCGGCGUGCUAAUACUGCAAGUCGAGCGAAUUGAUGGGAGCUUGCUCCCUGAUAUUAGCGGCGGACGGGUGAGUAACACGUGGGUAACCUGCCUGUAAGAUUGGGAUAACUCCGGGAAACCGGAGCUAAUACCGGAUAACAUGUUGAACCGCAUGGUUCAACAUUGAAAGAUGGCUUUUGCUAUCACUUACAGAUGGACCCGCGGCGCAUUAGCUAGUUGGUGAGGUAACGGCUCACCAAGGCAACGAUGCGUAGCCGACCUGAGAGGGUGAUCGGCCACACUGGGACUGAGACACGGCCCAGACUCCUACGGGAGGCAGCAGUAGGGAAUCUUCCGCAAUGGACGAAAGUCUGACGGAGCAACGCCGCGUGAACGAUGAAGGCCUUCGGGUCGUAAAGUUCUGUUGUUAGGGAAGAACAAGUACCAGAGUAACUGCUGGUACCUUGACGGUACCUAACCAGAAAGCCACGGCUAACUACGUGCCAGCAGCCGCGGUAAUACGUAGGUGGCAAGCGUUGUCCGGAAUUAUUGGGCGUAAAGCGCGCGCAGGUGGUUUCUUAAGUCUGAUGUGAAAGCCCACGGCUCAACCGUGGAGGGUCAUUGGAAACUGGGGAACUUGAGUGCAGAAGAGGAAAGU
rnacentral:rRNA from 1 species